AUUGAACGCUGGCGGCAUGCCUUACAUAUGCAAGUCGAACGGUAACAGGUUAAGCUGACGAGUGGCGAACGGGUGAGUAAUAUAUCGGAACGUGCCCAGUCGUGGGGGAUAACGUAGCGAAAGCUACGCUAAUACCGCAUACGAUCUACGGAUGAAAGCGGGGGAUCGCAAGACCUCGCGCGAUUGGAGCGGCCGAUAUCAGAUUAGGUUGUUGGUGAGGUAAAAGCUCACCAAGCCUGCGAUCUGUAGCUGGUCUGAGAGGACGACCAGCCACACUGGAACUGAGGCACGGUCCAGACUCCUACGGGAGGCAGCAGUGGGGAAUUUUGGACAAUGGACGCAAGUCUGAUCCAGCAAUGCCGCGUGCAGGACGAAGGCCUUCGGGUUGUAAACUGCUUUUGUACGGAACGAAACGGUGAGCUCUAAUACAGUUUGCUAAUGACGGUACCGUAAGAAUAAGCACCGGCUAACUACGUGCCAGCCGCCGCGGUAA
rnacentral:rRNA from 1 species